CCAGAGGGCAUAUAUAACCACAAA
rnacentral:piRNA from 1 species